UCGGGCGACGAUCAAGUUAGGUUGAGGAACAGCAGUAAAGGUUGAUUUUUUUUUGCUGGGCUGUGUUUUUCCUCUCUCCCCCCCUCCUCAACCCCUCACUCUCUCAUCGCAGAUCCAUCAAGAGCUGCGGGUAUUCAGAACAAUGGGGAAAAAGAGUAGAGUCAAAACUCAAAAAUCAGGAGGAGGUGGAGCCACAGCCACUGUUUCUACAAAGGAAAUAAUGAAUCUGAUAACUGAGCUGUUACAGAAGUGUAGUAAUCCUUCCACUGCACCAGGAAAGGAGUGGGAAGAAUAUGUGCAAAUCCGAGGCUUGAUUGAGAAAAUCCGUAAAAAGCAAAAAGGGUUAUCGGUCAUCUUUGAUGGGAACAGAGAACAACACUUUGAUGAACUAUUGCAGUGGGCAGCUGACUGUGGAGCCUCAACAGAAGGUUUUGAAAUCACUUACUUCCCAGAAGAGGGUUUUGGAUUGAAGGCAACUAAAGACAUUAAGGCAGAAGAACUUUUUCUGUGGAUCCCUCGAAAAAUGCUGAUGACUGUUGAAUCUGCUAAAAACUCUAUACUGGGUCCCGUGUAUUCCCAGGACCGGAUUCUACAAGCCAUGGGAAAUAUCACUCUUGCCUUUCACCUGCUUUGUGAACGACUGAAUCCCGAUUCCUUCUGGUUGCCCUACAUUAAGACUUUGCCCGUGGAGUACCAUACUCCUUUGUAUUUUGAAGAGGAAGAAGUACGUUACCUUCAGUCAACGCAAGCCAUCCACGAUGUCUUUAGUCAGUAUAAAAACACUGCUCGCCAAUAUGCCUACUUCUAUAAACUCAUCCAGACCCAUCCGAACGCAAGCAAGCUGCCCUUGAAGGAAUCCUUCACCUUUGACGACUACAGGUGGGCGGUAUCUUCAGUCAUGACCCGUCAGAACCAAAUUCCAACUGAGGAUGGAUCCCGGGUCACUUUGGCCCUGAUACCUUUGUGGGAUAUGUGUAAUCACACCAAUGGCUUGAUCACAACUGGCUACAACCUGGAGGAUGACAGAUGCGAAUGUGUAGCUCUGCAGGAUUACAAAGCUGGAGAUCAGAUCUACAUUUUCUAUGGGACUCGAUCCAAUGCUGAGUUUGUGAUACACAAUGGAUUUUUCUUCAACAAUAACUCUCAUGAUAGAGUGAAGAUAAAACUGGGAGUGAGUAAAAGUGAUCGACUCUAUGCAAUGAAAGCAGAGGUUUUGGCACGUGCUGGGAUCCCAACGUCCAGUGUAUUUGCUCUGCACUGCAGCGAGCCUCCAAUCUCAGCCCAACUGCUGGCUUUCCUCCGGGUGUUCAGCAUGACUGAAGAUGAAUUGAAAGGACAUCUUGUUCGAGAACAUGUCAUCGAUAAGAUCUUUACCUUGGGAAACUCUGAUUUCCCUGUGAGCUGGGAUAAUGAAAUUAAACUGUGGACCUUUCUUGAAACCAGGGCUGCACUCCUGUUAAAAACAUAUAAAACUACGACCGAGGACGAUAAGUCAUUGCUGGAAAAGCCGGAGCUGUCGUACCAUAGUAAGAUGGCUAUCCAGCUCCGUACGGCCGAGAAGGAGAUCUUGGAGAAAGCGGUGCAGAGCGCGGCCAUGAAACGAGAGCACUUUACGGAACUCCAGGACGAGAAUGCCCCGCUUCCCAAGUACGAGGAGAGUAACAUAGCCAUGCUGGAGAACACUAUAACAGACUCAAAAAUCCCACUGGUCCUGAGAAAUUUAAACAGUGACGACGAAGGAGAUCACGAGUUGAAGCUCACAGAGGUUUUGGAUGACGGGAUUGUGGGCGGUCUGGGGAUAAUGAACGGCGAGAGCACUUUUCCCAACCACACCGAUCCCAAAAGCCAAGAGAACGGCAAACAAGAAGACGACACCAAAGAGAAUGGAGAUGCCAAAGAGACUACUGCAGACAGGAUUGAAUGUAGUGAAAGUUGAAAUUGAAAGACAAUCACAAUACAAGAGUCCAGUCAUUGCUAGUGUGAGGUGCAGAUGGGAACUCUGAACAUUACACUUGCUGACAGUGCAGCAUAUUUGAUCAUGUCUUUUUAAGGUGAGACGAGUUGGAGCCAAAAUGGUCUUGUCACAAGAAUGUACUUCCUGGUAAAAUAAUAGUUCAUUUAAAAGGGUGUAGGAAAGAACUGCAGAUGCUGGUUUAAACUGGAGAUAGACACAAAGCCUGUCCAGCUGAGUUACUCUUGCAGUUUGUGUCUUUCUUGGUUCAUUUAAAAGAGGUGGUCCUAAAAUAGCUUCCAACCAAUGUUCGUUCGCCUCAUCUCAACCUUGCGUGCAGAAUGGAGGGAGAGUUUGUAUCGGUUCAAGUACGAUUUCAGCAUCAAAAGUCAAUGAUUUCAGAUUUGUUUUUAACGAGGCAUUUUUAGAGCAAAAAAAAGCUCUGACAAUUGAAAAGCAAUAGAGAAAAUCUCUUGGCGAAGUAAGGCCUUUAAAUUUAAUGCCACAUGCAUGCUGUUUGGAGCACAUGGUGAUUUAAUGCAGAAACAAAGAACUGCUAAUGCUGGUUAAUACACAAAAGGCCAUAAAGUGCUGGAGCAAUUCAGCUGAGCAGGCAGCACCACUGGAGAACAUAGAUAGGUGAAGUUG